UAGGAUUUGGUUAGGGUUUGAUUUAGGAUUAGAAUUUGGUUAGAGUUUGGUUUAGGAUUUAAGAUAAGGAUUAGGAUUUGGUUGAGAUGAGUUUUAGGAUUAGCAUUUAGGAUUUGGUUAGGAUUUAAUUUAAGACUAGGAUUUAGUUUAAGAUUUAGAAUUUGGUUAGAAUUUGAUCAAGAUUUGAUUUAGGAUUUAGGAUUUUAUUUGAGUUUAUUUAGGAUUUAAGAUUUAAUUAGUUUUUGGCCUAAAGUUUGAAUGAAGUAAGAUUUUAACUAGGAUUAAAUUA
rnacentral:lncRNA from 1 species